rnacentral:rRNA from 1 species
UACGGAGGGUGCAAGCGUUAUCCGGAAUCACUGGGUUUAAAGGGUGCGUAGGCGGUGGCGUAAGUCAGUCGUGAAAUACUUCGGCUCAACCGAUAGAACUGCGAUUGAUACUGUGUCACUUGAAUCAGGAUGAGGCAGGCGGAAUGUGGCAUGUAGCGGUGAAAUGCUUAGAUAUGCCAUAGAACACCGAUUGCGAAGGCAGCUUGCUGGACCUGUAUUGACGCUGAGGCACGAAAGCGUGGGGAGCAAACAGG